AGUGAACGCUGGCGGUAGGCCUAACACAUGCAAGUCGAACGGCAGCACAGUAAGAGCUUGCUCUUACGGGUGGCGAGUGGCGGACGGGUGAGGAAUACAUCGGAAUCUACUUUUUCGUGGGGGAUAACGUAGGGAAACUUACGCUAAUACCGCAUACGACCUACGGGUGAAAGCAGGGGAUCUUCGGACCUUGCGCGAUUGAAUGAGCCGAUGUCGGAUUAGCUAGUUGGCGGGGUAAAGGCCCACUAAGGCGACGAUCCGUAGCUGGUCUGAGAGGAUGAUCAGCCACACUGGAACUGAGACACGGUCCAGACUCCUACGGGAGGCAGCAGUGGGGAAUAUUGGACAAUGGGCGCAAGCCUGAUCCAGCCAUACCGCGUGGGUGAAGAAGGCCUUCGGGUUGUAAAGCCCUUUUGUUGGGAAAGAAAAGCAGCAGGUUAAUACCCCGCUGUUCUGACGGUACCCAAAGAAUGAGCACCGGCUAACUUCGUG
rnacentral:rRNA from 1 species